rnacentral:rRNA from 1 species
UGCAAGUCGAGCGGGGGAGGUUGCUUCGGUAACUGACCUAGCGGCGGACGGGUGAGUAAUACUUAGGAAUCUGCCUAUUAAUGGGGGACAACAUCUCGAAAGGGAUGCUAAUACCGCAUACGCCCUACGGGGGAAAGCAGGGGAUCACUUGUGACCUUGCGUUAAUAGAUGAGCCUAAGUCGGAUUAGCUAGUUGGUGGGGUAAAGGCCUACCAAGGCGACGAUCUGUAGCGGGUCUGAGAGGAUGAUCCGCCACACUGGGACUGAGACACGGCCCAGACUCCUACGGGAGGCAGCAGUGGGGAAUAUUGGACAAUGGGGGGAACCCUGAUCCAGCUAUGCCGCGUGUGUGAAGAAGGCCUUAUGGUUGUAAAGCACUUUAAGCGAGGAGGAGGCUCUCUUGGUUAAUACCCAAGAAGAGUGGACGUUACUCGCAGAAUAAGCACCGGCUAACUCUGUGCCAGCAGCCGCGGUAAUACAGAGGGUGCGAGCGUUAAUCGGAUUUACUGGGCGUAAAGCGUGCGUAGGCGGCUUUUUAAGUCGGAUGUGAAAUCCCCGAGCUUAACUUGGGAAUUGCAUUCGAUACUGGGAAGCUAGAGUAUGGGAGAGGAUGGUAGAAUUCCAGGUGUAGCGGUGAAAUGCGUAGAGAUCUGGAGGAAUACCGAUGGCGAAGGCAGCCAUCUGGCCUAAUACUGACGCUGAGGUACGAAAGCAUG